rnacentral:misc_RNA from 1 species
AUGUGAAGCAAACUUUUGAUUCAAGAAAUCACAAAAACUCACUUAUUCAAUAAAAGAUGAUUCUAUAAACCUCUUAAACUGGAUUAGUUUUCUGCAAAAAUAUAAGCUAGAAAGCAGUUGUAGGCAUGCAUUAUCACGUUGAGAAAAAGCACAAAAGAUAACACUGUUAACCAAAAUCAUGGGCCAAAACCAUCACUGAGCUUUGGAAACAAAUUUGCUUUAUUACAGUUGCAAAACAUAAAAACAAAUGUCAAAAAAUUUUCCUUUGAAGGCCAAUUUUCUGGAAACAUCAAAUUGAUAUUUUUCAUUUCAAUCUUCUCUCAGAAUUUCAGACAAGCCAUGCUUCAAAAAUUCCUUUCAUGUCCAGGAAACAA